rnacentral:rRNA from 1 species
AACGAACGCUGGCGGCAGGCCUAACACAUGCAAGUCGAGCGGACAUCUUCGGAUGUUAGCGGCGGACGGGUGAGUAACGCGUGGGAACGUGCCCUUUGCUUCGGAAUAGCCUCGGGAAACUGGGAGUAAUACCGGAUGUACCCUUUGGGGGAAAGCUUCAUCGGCAAAGGAUCGGCCCGCGUUGGAUUAGGUAGUUGGUGGGGUAAUGGCCUACCAAGCCGACGAUCCAUAGCUGGUUUGAGAGGAUGAUCAGCCACACUGGGACUGAGACACGGCCCAGACUCCGACGGGAGGCAGCAGUGGGGAAUCUUAGACAAGGGGGGAAACCCUGAUCUAGCCAUGCCGCGUGAGCGAUGAAGGCCUUAGGGUUGUAAAGCUCUUUCACCGGGGAAGAUAAUGACGGUACCCGGAGAAGAAGCCCCGGCUAACUCCGUG